GCCCAGGUGGCGGAAUUGGUAGACGCGCUAGCUUCAGGUGCUAGUGUCCUAACGGGCGUGGAAGUUCGAGUCUUCUCCUGGGCACCA
rnacentral:tRNA from 1 species